rfam:Jaapia argillacea MTCL 33604 unplaced genomic scaffold JAAARscaffold_40, whole genome shotgun sequence.
AGCAGCGUGGCGCAGUCGGAAGCGCGUGGGGCUCAUAACCCCAAGGUCACUCGAUCGAGACGAGUCGCUGCUA